rnacentral:rRNA from 1 species
CAGCCGCCGCGGGAAUACAGAGGGUGCAAGCGUUAAUCGGAAUUACUGGGCGUAAAGCGCGCGUAGGUGGUUUGUUAAGUUGGAUGUGAAAGCCCCGGGCUCAACCUGGGAACUGCAUCCAAAACUGGCAAGCUAGAGUACGGUAGAGGGUGGUGGAAUUUCCUGUGUAGCGGUGAAAUGCGUAGAUAUAGGAAGGAACACCAGUGGCGAAGGCGACCACCUGGACUGAUACUGACACUGAGGUGCGAAAGCGUGGGGAGCAAACAGGAUUAGAUACCCCGGUAGUCCCUGUCUCUUAUAC